rnacentral:rRNA from 1 species
CGUUCCCGGGCCUUGUACACACCGCCCGUCACGUCACGAAAGUCGGUAACACCCGAAGCCGGUGGCCCAACCCCCUUGUGGGGAGGGAGCUGCCGAAGGUGGGACUGGCGAUUGGGACG